rnacentral:rRNA from 1 species
CCUACGGGAGGCAGCAGUGGGGAAUUUUGGACAAUGGGCGCAAGCCUGAUCCAGCAAUGCCGCGUGAGUGAAGAAGGCCUUCGGGUUGUAAAGCUCUUUUGUCAGGGAAGAAACGGCUGAGGCUAAUAUCCUCGGCUAAUGACGGUACCUGAAGAAUAAGCACCGGCUAACUACGUGCCAGCAGCCGCGGUAAUACGUAGGGUGCAAGCGUUAAUCGGAAUUACUGGGCGUAAAGCGUGCGCAGGCGGUUUUGUAAGUCUGUCGUGAAAGCCCCGGGCUUAACCUGGGAAUUGCGAUGGAGACUGCAAGGCUUGAAUCUGGCAGAGGGGGGUAGAAUUCCACGUGUAGCAGUGAAAUGCGUAGAGAUGUGGAGGAACACCGAUGGCGAAGGCAGCCCCCUGGGUCAAGAUUGACGCUCAUGCACGAAAGCGUGGGGAGCAAACAGGAUUAGAUACCCUGGUAGUCCACGCCCUAAACGAUGUCUACUAGUUGUCGGGUCUUAAUUGACUUGGUAACGCAGCUAACGCGUGAAGUAGACCGCCUGGGGAGUACGGUCGCAAGAUUAAAAACUCAAAAGGAAUUGACGG